GAACUUGAGAGUUUGAUCCUGGCUCAGAGCGAACGCUGGCGGCAUGCUUAACACAUGCAAGUCGCACGGUCAGCAAUGGCAGUGGCGGACGGGUGAGUAACACGUAGGAAUCUAUCCCAGGGUGGGGGA
rnacentral:rRNA from 1 species